rnacentral:rRNA from 1 species
GACGAACGCUGGCGGCGUGCUUAACACAUGCCAGUCGAACGGAAAGGCCCUGCUUUUGUGGGGUGCUCGAGUGGCGAACGGGUGAGUAACACGUGAGUAACCUGCCCUUGACUUUGGGAUAACUUCAGGAAACUGGGGCUAAUACCGGAUAGGACCUCCUGCUGCAUGGUGGGGGUUGGAAAGUUUCGGCGGUUGGGGAUGGACUCGCGGCUUAUCAGCUUGUUGGUGGGGUAGUGGCUUACCAAGGCUUUGACGGGUAGCCGGCCUGAGAGGGUGACCGGCCACAUUGGGACUGAGAUACGGCCCAGACUCCUACGGGAGGCAGCAGUGGGGAAUAUUGCACAAUGGGCGGAAGCCUGAUGCAGCAACGCCGCGUGCGGGAUGACGGCCUUCGGGUUGUAAACCGCUUUCGCCUGUGACGAAGCGUGAGUGACGGUAAUGGGUAAAGAAGCACCGGCUAACUACGUG